AUUGAACGCUAGCGGGAUGCUUUAAACAUGCAAGUCGAACGAGUGGCGGACGGGUGAGUAAUAUAUCGGAAGUGCCCAGUAGCGGGGGAUAACUACUGGAAACGGUAGUUAAUACCGAAUACUAUCGGAUAACCCAGAUGGGAUUAGCUAGUAGGUGAGGUAAUGGCUCACCUAGGCGACGAUCCCUAGCGGGUCUGAGAGGAUGAUGAGCCACACUGGGACUGAGACACGGCCCAGACUCCUACGGAGGAAGCAGUGGGGAAUAUUGCACAAUGGGCGCAAUCCUGAUGCAGCCAUGCCGCGUGUAUGAAGAAGGCCCUAGGGUUGUAAAGUACUUUCAGUCGGGAGGCGUUACCGACCGAAGAAGCACCGGCUAACUCCGUGCCAGCAGCCGCGGUAAUAC
rnacentral:rRNA from 1 species